rnacentral:misc_RNA from 1 species
AAGUCGUAACAAGGUUUCCGUAGGUGAACCUGCGGAAGGAUCAUUAACACGUAUCCAACGUUAAACAACCCUGUGAACUGGAAAAAUGUCAGGAGAUAAACCGAACAACUGUUAACAAUGGAUAUCUUGGUUCUC